GCCCGCCUAGCUCAAUCGGAUAGAGCGUCAGACUUUUAUAUACAUGAUCUGAAGGCUGCGAGUUCGACCCUCGCGGUGGGCU